AUGCCAGGAACGGGGCCAGGACUCCCUGGAGUGGGGUCAGGGCCUCCCGGGAGCAGGGCCAGGAUCCCCAAGAGCAGGAGCAGGAACCCCACGAGUGGGGUCAGGACUCUCGGGAGCGUGUCCAGGACCCCAGGGAGGAAUGAGUGCCCGGCAGUGAGAGUCAAGGGGACCCCUUGCUCCUGCCCAGCGAGUGGAAUUUCUGAGCAGAGUCACUCCGUGGGACAAGUUCAGGGAAGUCCCGCGCUGCCGUUGCGCCGGGCAGUGCCAUCCCGCCCGGCCUCCUGGCACACGCGGCCCCAAAGCCCGUCCCGCCGCCAGCGGGGGCCCGGAGGGGCCGGGGCGGUACGUGCAGUGGCGCACGGCCCAGCCCGGCCCGGCCCGGCCCCGCCGCGCUCCUGGGGUCGGGGGGGGCCCGGCGAGGCGCACGUGGCGCGCGGGGGGCGGUGCUCGGCCGCGCACGCCCCGCUCCCGCCCCCCGCGCCCCUCCGCCCUUAUAGCGGCGGGGGCGGGGGCGGCCGCACUUGGCGGCAGCGGCGGCACCCGCAGGUAGGGCGCGGGCGGCCGCGUGGCGGGCGGCCGAGGGAGCGGGGAGGGGGCGCCUCGGGGUUAGGCCCCCGGCUCUGGGAGCCGCACGAACUCUGGCGGCCCCGUGCUUCCCGGGGCCUCUGCUGCCGGCCCGGCUUAGAAGUCCUGGAGCCGGUGAUGGUCCUGGGCCGUUCCUGGAGUGGGGGGCUGCCCCCGCGGCCGGUCGCGCGGCCGGUCGGUUCCACAGCGGCGUUUCUGGCUGUGUUGGAACCGUCGCUUUGGUCUCCGCCGCCCCCGAACUGUGGGGGGAGCCAUGUUUUGUUCCCGCUCCGGUAUGGCCGCGUGGUGAGGAUUCCUCAGUACCCUGCCCUGACCGCCCUCGUCCCUCUCACCGGCAGUAGCGUCCUGGGGUCAGGGUUUCCCCGGCUUCCUUCUCCCGGCGAACGGUGCGGAUGCAUGGUGGUGGCCUGGGGGGGCCCGGGUAGCCCAGUUGCCUCGAGGUGUGGGUGCCCUGUCCCGGGGAGCUCCUGCCCGGCCCCUCAGACCGCUGCCCCGGCGUAUUUGUGGGGCCGCGCGGGGGAAUCUCCGCACCAUUUGAGGGCGCUUGAUAAGCGCUGGGGCGCAGGGAAGAGGUAA
rnacentral:lncRNA from 1 species